GAUGAACGCUGACAGAAUGCUUAACACAUGCAAGUCUACUUGAAUUUGGGUUUUUUAACUUAGAUUUGGGUGGCGGACGGGUGAGUAACGCGUAAAGAACUUGCCUCACAGUUAGGGACAACAUUUGGAAACGAAUGCUAAUACCUGAUAUUAUGAAUAUAUGGCAUCAUAUAAUUAUGAAAGCUAUAAGCGCUGUGAGAGAGCUUUGCGUCCCAUUAGCUAGUUGGAGAGGUAACGGCUCACCAAGGCGAUGAUGGGUAGCCGGCCUGAGAGGGUGAACGGCCACAAGGGGACUGAGACACGGCCCUUACUCCUACGGGAGGCAGCAGUGGGGAAUAUUGGACAAUGGACCAAGAGUCUGAUCCAGCAAUUCUGUGUGCACGAUGACGUUUUUCGGAAUGUAAAGUGCUUUCAGUUGGGAAGAAAAAAAUGACGGUACCAACAGAAGAAGUGACGGCUAAAUACGU
rnacentral:rRNA from 1 species